CCAUAUAUUCCGAUCUAUUUCUCUACCUCUCCGGCGAAAAAGGAUAAUCAUGGAAGAUAAAUCCAUUCCAUUCGAAUCAAGUCACUCCGUAUCAAACAAUGAUAACAAUCACGGAUGGCAAAAGGUGACAUAUGUGAAGAAGCAGAAAAAAAAGCAGCAAAAAAUCUCGGAUUCAGGCAAGGUAAUCGCCAAUGGAUCUGCUAUUUCCGGCGCCGAUAAUGUGUAUAAGUCGCUUGAGAAGCACUCCGAUGAACGCCGCAAGAGAAUUGCAGCUCAGACGGCUGCGAUGUACGGUGUUGGCGAUGCUCCGGUUAGAUCGGCGAUGAAACACCGGUCGGACGAUGAAGACGAGGAUAACUAUGCUGAAGGUGGUGCUGAGAAUGGUGCGGUUGGGGAGAAGAAGAAGGAGAAGGUAAAAAAACCGAAGAAGCCAAAAGUUACUGUGGCUGAAGCUGCUGCGAAGAUUGAUGCAGCUGAUCUAGAUGCUUUUCUCGCUGAUAUAACUGUUUCCUAUGAAUCUCAGCAAGAAAUACAAUUGAUGCGUUUUGCUGAUUACUUUGGACGGUCAUUUGCGGCAGUGGCUGGGUCACAAUUUCCGUGGUUGAAAUUGUUCAGGGAGUCCGCGAUCAGUAAAAUCGCAGAUGUUCCUGUUUCACAUCUUCCUGAACCAGUUUAUAAAACAUCGGUUGAUUGGAUCAACCAACGUUCUUUCGAGGCUCUUGGAUCGUUUGUGCUGUGGGGACUAGACAGUAUUCUUGUGGACUUAACAGCCCAAUUAGCAGGUUCUAAGGGCUCCAAGAAAGGUGGCCAACAAACAUCGUCAAAAUCUCAGGUUGCCAUGUUUUUAGUUUUGGCAAUGGUACUACGGCGAAAGCCUGAUGUUUUAAUCACCGUACUCCCGACGCUUCGGGAAAGUCCAAAGUAUCAAGGGCAAGACAAACUUAUAGUUAUUGCAUGGAUGAUAGUCCAGGCCUGUCAGGGCGAUCUCUGCGUUGGAUUGUACUUGUGGGCACAUCAUACCUUGCCUUUAGUUGGAGGAAAAUCAGGUUCCAAUCCGCAGACAAGGGACUUGAUUUUGCAGGUGGUAGAAAGGAUCCUCUCUGCACCAAAAGCUCGAACAAUUUUAGUAAAUGGGGCUGUUAGGAAGGGAGAGCGUCUGAUGUCACCUUCCUCCCUUGACCUGCUUCUACGGGUGACUUUUCCCGCUCCUUCUGCGCGAGUUAAGGCAACUGAAAGGUUUGAGGCAGUAUAUCCCACUCUUAAGGAGGUUGCGCUUGCUGGUUCCCCUGGAAGCAAAGCAAUGAAGCAAGUUUCUCAACAGAUACUUCUACUAGCUGUAAAGGCCGUUGGAGGAGGCAAUCCAGAACUAUCUCGAGAGGCAACAAACAUAUUCAAUUGGUGUUUGACCCAGAGCGCUGACUGUUACAAGCAGUGGGACAAGAUUUACCUGGAUAACAUAGAAGCAAGUGCUGCUGUGUUGAGAAAGCUCAACGAGGAGUGGAAGGAGUUAUCGAGGAGACAGUCCUCUACUGAGGCCUUGAAGGAGACUCUCAAGAGCUUCAGAGAGAAGAAUGAGAAAUCAUUAACUGGUGGAGCGGAUGCUCAUCAGUCACACUUCAGAGAUGCAGAUAAGUACUGUAAAAUGUUGUUAGCAAGGCUGUCUCGUGGACAUGGAUGUGUGAAAGGAUUUGUUGUUGUUCUUUUGGCUAUGGCGGUGGGAGGUGCUAUUGUGUCACAGAACUUGGAGGAUUGGGAUUGGAACAAGUUUUCGGCUUUACUUGAUAUCCCACAGACCUCCUAAGUAAUCUGGACCAGAUGAGCAAUGUUCUUUUUUAACAGUUGAUGGUCUCAGCAGCAGUUGGUUCAGAAAACAUAAAAAUAACUUUUUGGAGAAACAGGUAGCGGAACUUGGAGAUAUCGGGAUGGAUGCUUAUAUUUUCAUGAAAGAAUGAGUCAUGUUUAAUUUAUCAGUCUUGUUUUGAUCUGUCUGUUAGUUUAAGUUUAAGUGGUAGUAGGCAUGUUAGCUGUUACCAAGUUUUCAACAUCUUUUUUCAGUUUAAGUAAAUUGAUUGUCAUUACCAGAAUACAGAUGUAAUUUCAACG
rnacentral:misc_RNA from 1 species